UUAAAAUCAUAGAUUGGAAAUAGUACUAAUAUAUUGUUUAUUUCAGCGAGUGGAGGUUUGGUGUGAUGCUCCAUAAUAAAAUUUAUUAGGAAUGGGUCCAUGAGAUGCAGGGUGAAAGUUAUAGUAGCCUGAGCCGUGUCCUCACGUUAUAGAGGUGAGAUAUCAAGCAACCUUUGCUUUGUAUCUAAAUUAAAGUUAUACAUUUAGGUGGCAUAAUGAAAUUUACACUUCAUCCUAUUUUUAGGUUGAAGUGUUUUUAUUUAUAUUAUCUUAAUGUAUAUAAAAUUGGGUGGCACCACGACUAUAUCGUCCCAUAG
rnacentral:ncRNA from 1 species